UACGGAGGAUCCAAGCGUUAUCCGGAAUUACUGGGCGUAAAGCGCACGUAGGCGGCUUUGUAAGUUAGAGGUGAAAGCCCAGGGCUCAACUCCGGAAUUGCCUUUAAAACUGCAUCGCUAGAAUUGUGGAGAGGUAAGUGGAAUACCCAGUGUAGAGGUGAAAUUCGUAGAUAUUGGGUGGAACACCGGUGGCGAAGGCGGCUCACUGGUCCGGUUCUGACGCUGAGGCGCGAAAGCGUGGGGAGCAAACAGG
rnacentral:rRNA from 1 species